GAAUUUGAGGAUGAUGACAGUCACAAUGAUGCUAGAACAGAAGAAUUUGAACAAGAUGGCAGUUAUGACACAGACAAUGACACGACACCAGAAGAAUUUGAAGAAGAUGGCAGUUAUGACACAGACUAUGACGCGACACCAGAAGCCAGCAGCAGUGACACCAGCAGUGAGGCAACAAGAGCAGAAUUUGAAAAGGAUCCAUUUCACAUCUAUGGAAGUUCACCAACAUUAGGCAGGCCAUUGUGUGACUUUGUUAAUAUAACAAAAGCUGAGGCUCUCCUGUUGAUCCUGUCAUUUGCAAUGAGGCAUUCACUUACUGGAGUUGCUAUCGUUGACCUCUUGCAACUUAUAAAUGUAUUAUUUGGAAUUAAUGUACUUAACAGUUCAAAGCACCUAUUUCAAAAAGUUUUCGGAAAAAUUACAGACAUGCUUAAUUUUCAUUUUAAUUGUCCCUUUUGCAAUUCGUACAUUGGUAUUGUAAAUUCCAGAAACACUGCAAAUUGUCCACAAUGUAACAACAAAUUUAACACUAAAGAUCUCAAGGAGAAUUUUUUUUCAUUACUGUCCCCCUGGCUCCACAAAUGCGCUGCAUUCUUGAACAAUUGGAUCACACCGACAUGCUAAAUUACAGAAAAUUCAGAAACAAAAAUGGGUCAAUUUCAGAUAUUUUAGAUGGUGAAAUGU